rnacentral:rRNA from 1 species
CAGCAGCCGCGGGAAUACGGAGGGUGCAAGCGUUAAUCGGAAUUACUGGGCGUAAAGCGCACGCAGGCGGUCUGACAAGUCAGAUGUGAAAUCCCCGGGCUUAACCUGGGAACUGCAUUUGAAACUGUCAGGCUGGAGUCUUGUAGAGGGUGGUGGAAUUCCAGGUGUAGCGGUGAAAUGCGUAGAGAUCUGGAGGAAUACCGGUGGCGAAGGCGGCCCCCUGGACAAAGACUGACGCUCAGGUGCGAAAGCGUGGGGAGCAAACAGGAUUAGAUACCCCUGUAGUCCCUGUCUCUUAUAC